rnacentral:misc_RNA from 1 species
GCCGAAGCUGCGGAUUUGACAUUAGUCAAGUGGUAGGGGAGCGUUCUGUAAGCCGAUGAAGGUGUAUUGAGAAGUAUGCUGGAGGUAUCAGAAGUGCGAAUGCUGACAUGAGUAGCGAUAAAGCGGGUGAAAGGCCCGCUCGCCGAAAGCCCAAGGUUUCCUACGCAACGUUCAUCGGCGUAGGGUGAGUCGGCUCCUAAGGCGAGGCCGAAAGGCGUAGUCGAUGGGAAAUCGGUUAAUAUUCCGAUACUUGUUUAUGAUGCGAUGGAGGGACGGAGAAGGUUAUGCCAGCUUGGCGAUGGUUGUCCAAGUGGAAGGAUGUAGUUAGGUUUAGUAGGCAAAUCCGCUAGACUA